AAGAACACUGGAGGGGGUUGUCAUUUCCUACUCCAGGGGAUCUUCCUGACCCAAGGGUUGAACCCGUGUCUCUUGUGUUUCCUGCAUUGGCAGGUGGAUUCUUUGCCAGUGUACCACCUGGGAAGCAGAUGAGAACUUUCUGGUCCCUGAGCUACCUAAGAAGCCAUCAGGCAGCCUCCCCUGGGCAGCACAAGCUCCAGCUGAGUGCUGUGCCCUGAGAGCUGGCUCUUGGCCUGAUGAGCAGCUGGACUUGACCCAUGGAGGACCCCAGCAGAGGCAGCAGGCGAGGCUCAGAGGCUGUUUUCUGAACAUCUGAGAUACCGUGGCCUUGACGACCAGCAGCCCAGCCUCUCUCAAGCCUCAAGUACUGGGUCUCUAUUCUGGCUGCCAGUGGAAGUCUCCUUGGAGAUUGUAAACAAUCCCACGUCCAGGCCGCCUCCCUGAACAAGCCAGAAUUUAUGAGGUGGGGCCCGAUCACCUCUGUUUCACACAAUCCCCCCAGUGACUCUGGGGUGCAGGAGAGUUGAGUGGGCGAGGCUCUCCUGAAGCCAUCAGAAAACCAUCCCAGCCUCACGGAACCAGGGCAGCUGGUCCCAGCACCUCACACCGCCUUCACCUCCGGGAAGGGGUAGCCCUGUAGCUGCUGGUUGUCAUUUAGUUGCUCAGCCAUGUCCGACUUCUUUUGUGAUCCCAUGGACUGUAGGCUCCUCUGUCCAUGGGAUUCUCCAGGCAAGAGUACUGGAGCGGGUUGCCAUUUCCUUCUCCAGGGGAUCUUCCCAACCCAGGGAUGGAACCCGUGUCUCCUGCAUUAACAGGCAGAUUCUUGACAGUGAGCCACCAGCAGAGCCCCCGGUAGCCGUACCUAGUUACAGAUGCACAGGCUGGAUAACCUCUCGUCCCUUCACUCUGCCUCCAAAGAGCUGAAAUAGCAGGUGCCUGGCAGAUAACCAAAGAUUAGGCCCAAAGAAGCAUUUGCCGUUGGGCUUACAGUGAUUAAUGCCAGCGGGGGGACGACUUCUGCUGUAAUCACCUUCCUUGGCAAUAAGCACUACUGUUGGGUCGGAGAGAGACACAGACCAGCCUCGGGGGUCACUUUCACCUAGCUCAGCACCUUCAGC
ensembl:lncRNA